rnacentral:rRNA from 1 species
UUAUUUCGGUAAGUUCUUAGUGGCGAACGGGUGAGUAACGCGUGGGCAACCUGCCCUCCAGUUGGGGACAACAUUCCGAAAGGGAUGCUAAUACCGAAUGUGCUCCCUCCUCCGCAUGGAGGAGGGAGGAAAGAUGGCCUCUGCUUGCAAGCUAUCGCUGGAAGAUGGGCCCGCGUCUGAUUAGCUAGUUGGUGGGGUAACGGCUCACCAAGGCGAUGAUCAGUAGCCGGUCUGAGAGGAUGAACGGCCACAUUGGGACUGAGACACGGCCCAAACUCCUACGGGAGGCAGCAGUGGGGAAUCUUCCGCAAUGGACGAAAGUCUGACGGAGCAACGCCGCGUGAGUGAUGAAGGUCUUCGGAUUGUAAAACUCUGUUGUUAGGGACGAAAGCACCGUGUUCGAACAGGUCAUGGUGUUGACGGUACCUAACGAGGAAGCCACGGCUAACUACGUGCCAGCAGCCGCGGUAAUACGUAGGUGGCAAGCGUUGUCCGGAAUUAUUGGGCGUAAAGAGCAUGUAGGCGGGCUUUUAAGUCUGACGUGAAAAUGCGGGGCUUAACCCCGUAUGGCGUUGGAUACUGGAAGUCUUGAGUGCAGGAGAGGAAAGGGGAAUUCCCAGUGUAGCGGUGAAAUGCGUAGAUAUUGGGAGGAACACCAGUGGCGAAGGCGCCUUUCUGGACUGUGUCUGACGCUGAGAUGCGAAAGCCAGGGUAGCAAACGGGAUUAGAUACCCCGGUAGUCCUGGCCGUAAACGAU